CGAACGCUGGUCUCCGUGCUUAAAGAGACAAGUCGAGCGGAAAGGCCCUUCGGGGUACUCGAGCGGCUUUCCGGUGAGUAACACGUGAGCAACCUGCCCUCAGCUCCGGGAUAGCUCCACGAAAGUGGAAUUAAUACCGGAUAUGACCACAGCCGACAUCAGCUGUGGUGGAAAGGAUUUCCGGCUGAGGAUGGGCUCGCGGCCUAUCAACUAGUUGGUGGGGUAACGGCCUACCAAGGCGACGACGGGUAGCCGGCCUGAGAGGACGACCGGCCACACUGGGACUGAGACACGGCCCAGACUCCUACGGGAGGCAGCAGUGGG
rnacentral:rRNA from 1 species